GGUUGUCCUACUUCAGGGUAGUGAGCUGCAGCAUGUUGACGCUCAGAUGGCGCUGGAGGUUAUUCAGGCACCAUCCACAAAUUAAGUAAGCUAUAGCUCUCUUCACCGUAAUUUUGUCAAGGGGUCCACAAUGAAAUGGACAAUUACGCCAAGAUAGGCACAUAAGAAGAUCCUCAAGAUCGGCGAUGGCGAUCGCGACGGUGCAUCGACGAGCUUGAUGAGAUGGCGCAUUGACAAGCAAAAAGUCAUGGGGAUUCCCGCUAUUCGUGAGGGGUUGCGUGAUGCGGCUAUGGGGCGGCGGAGGUCCACACAUCAGACGUACCCAGGCUGUGCGCACAGAUGAUGUUGAGGCUCCGUGACCUCCACAACCCGAGCAAGCUUGACUAUUUACUCUGGAAGGAGCAGUUCGUGGAGUGGGUCUGAAGCAACUGGGUAGCAGUCAUAAUAUUAGGCUGCUACAGAGGGGGUGGACUUUGAUGUCAGUAUGCUACAAAGGAUGUUGAAGAAAUUGGUUAUGAGAAGCGAUUAUCUUUGUGCCUCCAUGACGAGCAGCACCGGCUGCAUCUGGCGCAUCUUUGGAAAUUUAUAAUGAUAACAGGAAUUGGUCAAACUACAGAAAUUGUGACCCUGAUGAGCCGCCCCGGGCCUGACCACCGUUGGUUCAGCGUUCUCUGCCCGCGGAGUUUCCUGUCGUGCAUGCGUACGGU